rnacentral:rRNA from 1 species
GUGGGGAAUAUUGCGCAAUGGGCGAAAGCCUGACGCAGCAACGCCGCGUGAGUGACGAAGGCCUUCGGGUUGUAAAGCUCUGUCGGGUGGAACGAAUGGGUGUGGUGUGAAGAAUGCCAUGCAUUGACGGUCCCACCAAAGGAAGCACCGGCUAACUCCGUGCCAGCAGCCGCGGUAAUACGGAGGGUGCAAGCGUUGCUCGGAAUUAUUGGGCGUAAAGCGCACGCAGGCGGCGAGAUAAGUCAGUUGUGAAAUCCCCGGGCUUAACCUGGGAACUGCGACUGAUACUGUCUGUGCUAGAGUACGGAAGAGGGGAGUGGAAUUCCCAGUGUAGAGGUGAAAUUCGUAGAUAUUGGGAGGAACACCGGUGGCGAAAGCGGCUCCCUGGUCCGAUACUGACGCUCAUGUGCGAAAGCGUGGGGAGCAAACAGGAUUAGAAACCCUGGUAGUCC